UUUGCCCAUGCUCCCCUAUUUAUUUGCUUAUUUAAUAUCAGUAUGGACUCACAUAUAUUUAUUUUAUACUUUCAAUCUGUUUUUUCACGGUGACUGUAAAUUCAUGUAUUUUUUUUUUAAUGCAGAAAACAUACAAACAACUGUGCUGUGUGAGAAACAAAUUCUAUGAUGGCAAGAUUCUCCCUCCACAGCUCUUCAUGACUGCCUUUGCGUAGGGUCAUCUUUGGCUUAUUGCUAUUCACCUGGCAACCUCACACAAGCUGUUUCAACUCUGCAGGCCUCAGUUUCCCCAUCUGAAUGAGAGAGUCUUCAUGGAGUGGUCUCAGAGGGGAAGAGGGGAUGAUGUUUGUAUGUUUAUAGGUAUACAGCUGUUCUGUUGCCUAUUUACAGAACUAAAGUCCUUAAGGGCAAGGGGUAUCUUCUCUUAUUUAUGUUGGAAAAUGAACCCAGAGCUAAUAGCCCUUGAGAACAUCACCUAAACGUAAUCUUUAUAUCCCCUCCCACAACCCCAGAUGGUUCUCCUGCCCUGCUGUGCUGCCUCUCUGCAUGGGAUUUGGUUCUGCUUUUCUCGAGUGUCUGACACCCACCCCAAGGCCCGGCAUUCAAGGCCUUGUCCUCCUUGGCCUCAUUUUUGUGCCUCUCAUCUACCUGUACUACGGCCACACAGACAUCCUUGUCACCCCCAUGAAUUUCAGUGCUUACGGUAUCGCCCUCCUCUGUGCCAGGCCCUGGGCUGGGCGCCAGGCCACAGAGAUGAACCAGAGAGGGGCUCUGAGUCAGAGCUCACAGUCCAAUGUGGGCGCCAAGUCCUCGAUCCAUAGCAAUCUGACAUACAGAGGGAUGAGUGGAGCACUGUGGGAGCACAGUGGAGGGAGGGCCUGGCCUGGAGAGAAUCAGAAAGGCUUGGCAAAGAUGCUAACUUCUGAGCUGGGCUUUGACAGGUGUAUGGGAGUUUACGGGGUAGUGAAUGGGAGAAGGCGUAUUCCAGGCACAAAGAAAGGUAUGUGUGUGUGAACCAGAGAAAUGGCAGAGACCAGGGAACAAUCAUAAGUGUCAUGUGUCUGGAGCCAAAGUUCAGGAAGAAAGAAGGGCCCGAAGUGAGACAGGAGAGUGAGGUGGGGACCUCUGUGAGGAGCCUCAAUUCUGGGCUGGCAGUUUCUACUUGCGGAAUUUCAAAGGUGUUUUUCUUUUGUUUUUUUUGUUUUUGUGAGGAAGAUUGGUCCUGAGCUAACAUCUGUUGCCAAUCUCUUCCUCUUCUUGCUUGAGGAAGAUUGUUGCUGAGCUAACAUCUGUGCCAGUCUUCCUCUAUUUUACGUGGGAUGCUAUCACAGUGUGGCUUGACAAGUGGUGCUAGGUCUGUGCCCAGAAUCCGAACCCGCGAACCCCGGGGUGCUGAAGCAGAGUGUAGGAACUUAACUACUGUGCCACCAGACCGGCCCCUAAAGGUUUCAAGCACAGAGUCUGCACAGAGCGGGAACUCAGCGCCCGGCACUGGAGGAGUGGAUUAGAAGGCAGGCCGCUCUCCACAUUGACCUGCAGAGUGACCUCUCUGACCCCUAGGAUCCAACCUUACCACAGCAGGCAGAAAGCCUUUUACUGGCUCCCAGUGUCCCGGAUGAAGCCCACACGCCGUAAAUGAUGAUGAAGAUGAAGGUGGUAGCUACCACAUACCUCUCUCACAACCCCCACAACAGUCCUGCAAGGCAGGCGAGGAUCACUGUCCUCAUUUGUCAAAUGAAAAUCUGAUGGCUCAGAGAGGUUCAGUGACUCACCCGAGGUUACUCAGCCAGCGAGCUGCAGACACAGGCACCAAGCCCAGGGCUGUGGGCUGAUUGUUUGAUGGGCAUUCGAGGCCUGUCAGCCUCCCUCGCCAGAGAAGUUGCCAGGCUCAUCCAGGUGCCCAGGCAUCAGCCUCGUCUGACUCAGCAAGGAGCAAGUCGGAGGCGGCUGCUUGCCCGUCAGACUGCUGUUUUCUGCCUGAGAAGCAUCACUUGCUGUAGCCUCUUUCUCUUCUGCUCCCCAAGGAUCAUUCCGCAUCUGGGGGGAGUCAUUUUCCACAGAGUCAAGAGUUCUGAAAACUCGCUUUAUUGUUGUACACUGAAAACGGAUACCAUGUUAUAUGUGAGUUAUAUCUCAAUUAAAAGUCAGGUUAUAUUAGUGUACACAGCAACAGUAGAAGCUAACAUUUAUGCGGCAUUGAACGUCAAGACCGUGCUAAGUGCUUCACAUGCAUUGUCUCACUUUGUAAGGUCCAUUAAUUUAUUUAUUUGAAUAAGGACCCUCUACACGUGAUUAAAAGAAAGAGAGAGAUGGAUUACAAAAAGGCAUUUGGUGAAAAGUCAGUCUCUUUCCUCCUCUGCACUCCUGUCUCCCACGUCCCCUCCCAGAGACCAGUGUGACCAGCUCCUCGGGUGUCCUGCAGAGUCCCGAGUUACUACUAUCUCAUUUAAUCCUCUCAUCAGCCCUUUGAAGUAGGUAUUAUUAUCCUUGUAUUACAUAUCAGGACACUGAGGUUCAGAGACAGGAAGCCACAUACUCAAGGUCACACAGCUUCCACUUACUCAAGUGGCUGAGCUGGGGUUUCUCCCCAGAUGGACUGCCUCUCACCCUGUAGGCCUCCCUGCCUCCCACAAGGAGGUGAAAACCAGAAAGUUGAGCUGAGAAGCGUGUGCUGGGCAAUCGGCUGGACACCCUCGUUGACAGGCUUUUGCUCCACAUACCAAUCUUGCAGCAAAGAAUUCAAACUUGGACCUCAGUAAAAUGACAAAUUCUGACCCGUCAUAGGCCUUCGAGGUUAUUGACCCAUAGUCAAGACCUCAGAUUUUCCAACCCUGAAUAGUCUUCCGUUCCUGCUGUUUCCUGCCUUCUUGCUCCUUUGCGCCCUUGGUUUGCCCUUCAGUGACGUCGGCUCCGACCAGCUGCUCAGUGUGACUAAGGGUUCGCGGGGCAGGAUAGGAGGCGCACAGCCAUGCAGCUCUAAAACCUGGGUUCUGCCUCAGCUCCGCCCCGCUGGCCCGCCUGGCUGGGCGGGUCCUGUCACUUCUCUGCCUCCAUGUCUUCACUCGCAAGAUAGGAAGAAUUACAUCUAACUUAAAAGGUUUGAGGAUCCUCAAGUGAGGUGAUAGGCCAGUGGCAAGUAGCAAAGCCUCAUGCAAAUAUCGUUAUGUUUAGUAACAAUAAAAGUUGGAGUAAAUCUGGUCGCUCUACGGUGAAAAAGAGCUGGCUAAAUUCGCAGCUACUGUGUUCCCUUCUUUCCAUCCCCCCCACCAACCUGGUUUUGUAAAAUCUUCUACACUUUACAAAUGCCUUUUUGUCUAUUGUCUUAUGAAUUCUUGCCCAAGGCCUGGGAGGCAGAACCGGGGCAGGAAUUAUCACCCCAAAUGUUCCCAGAGGGGAAGUGCCUUGCCG
rnacentral:lncRNA from 1 species